ACUGCAUCUUUCAAAAGAUGUUAAGUAUUCAUCAUGAAGUCUCUCUGUACAGAAUAUACCAAGUUCUCUUGCAGUGUAAUGAUAAAGUGGUCUAAGCUUUCCACUCUUGCUGUAGAUAAUGUAUGUCUUGGGAUCUUCUGUUACUGUGUAAAUAUUUUGCACUUUUGAAAUAAGGGUCAGUCCUGUGCUGCUGCCUGGUGAAAGAUGCCUCUUACAGAGAGGUUCUUGAAUUCCAGCUCCCAGGCUGGCCCUGGCAUUAAAGUGGAAUGCACCCUGCUGCUUUACAGAUUAGUUGGCCCCAGCUGAAGCACUUGGAGAAUAAAGUACACACCGGUGUGACAGAGGAUCACAAAACUGAGCUCUUUACUCCUCUUUCCCUCAUUAAGCCAGGGUACAGAAGAAGGAUUUGCUAAUGCUUGGCUCCCACCUGUGCUCUGCAGUGAGACGUGGCAAAGCCCAAUCCUCAAGCCUCCUUCCUGAGAUCAGAGAAACAGGAUUUUAUUGAAAACUCCUGGAGAGCAUCCUUCUGUCACUUCCAUUUCAAGUUCCAUUGUGCUUCAACUUUUGGAAGGUCUUAUCCCUCUGCCCAGGGGCAACCAGCCUGAGAUGGGAUCCUCAGGAUUAUCUCUGUGAAACACAGCAGAAGGAUCCUAAUGGCUCAUUCAAUGUGGUUUCAUUUAAAGAAUUUCUACAUGUCCUAAUUUUUGGUCAGUGUGCACUUUUCUUCUGUGCUGGAUAAGAAUUGUUUCAUUUGCACCAUUUGCAAAACUCAUCAGGCCCAGAAGGGGCAAAUUUUAUCACAGAAGUUUGAUAAGUGCAUCUGAAUCCGUGUUUCUAUGCAGAAAAGCCAGACAUUUUACAAUUCCUUGGGAUUCAGGCAGUGAUUAUUGCUUAUGACACCAUCUCUUUGAAGAGUAUAUUGUACAGUAAUGCAAUAGUGCUCCACUUCAGGAACACAGGACAUUUAAGGAAAAUUCACAGGAGUUGAAUGUUCUGUAAAAUUUCUUAGUAAACUCUAUUUAUGUGGCUCCAAAAUAGGACUCCUUGACCUGCAUCACUUCCUCAUGACUAAGUGACACUGUGCCACAGAAUGCACAUAUGAAAGGAUUUGUUCUUAGCCAGAUCCUCCUCUGCUUGUCCACUGCUCCCCUUGUAGAUUUUCUUGUCUCUAAAAAGGGGUAGCAAGUCUAAUAAGUUCACACUUCAGCCUUGACACAACUCAACAGAAAUCUUUGUUCACCACAAGGUGCAGAAUAAUUGAACUCAGGCUUCCUGGCAUCUGACUAGAGUCAUGGAGUAUUCAGAAUGUCUCAGCAAAUUUGAUGGUUUUGGUUCUUCACUAACUAAACCCUUUACUUUAUAUGUAUUAAGUCAAAAUGUAAAAAAAUCCCAAUCCAAUCAACCACCAACAAAAAAAACCCCAAAAAAUCCAUUAAAAAAAACUCAAGCAAAAUCUCCAAAUCUUUAAUUUGUAGGUGGUAGCAUUCAUAUUGCUUUGAAAAAUCUCUUAAUAGCAUCAGGCAAUCCAACUCCUCCAGUUUUUGUGAGAAAAAAGAAUAGAAUAUUUAACAUAUUUAAAUUUAAUAUAAUAGAAAAUUUGCCUUGUCUUGCCUCAUUGUUUUUUGGUUGGCUGGUUGGUUUUGUCUUGGCCUUUCUGUGUUCAUCGUAUUUUCCUCCUUAAUCCUCCUUAGAUUUAGGAUUAGAACUCAAUCCCCACACUAGGUUCAGAAGUUUGCUGAAUUAAUCUGUUGUUGCUUGAAUCCCUGAAGUGGGUUCUAUUUUAUUAUGGAAUGCUUAGGAAUUACUGAAACUUCAGUGGAGACUGUUAAUGAGAAGCUGGAAGUCCAAUGAUUAAUUAAUAUAUUGUAGUCUCUUUUACUUGGUUUUAAUUCUGUACCAUUGCCUGGAGGGACAUAUCUCUUAGGUUGUCUGGCAGCAGCAGCCUCAUUA